UACGUAGGGGGCAAGCGUUGUCCGGAUUUAUUGGGCGUAAAGAGCGUGUAGGCGGCUUGGCAAGUCCGCUGUGAAAACUCGAGGCUCAACCUCGAGAUGUCGGUGGAAACUGCUUGGCUAGAGUCCGGAAGAGGAGUGUGGAAUUCCUGGUGUAGCGGUGAAAUGCGCAGAUAUCAGGAAGAACACCUAUGGCGAAGGCAGCACUCUGGGACGGUACUGACGCUGAGACGCGAAAGCGUGGGGAGCGAACAGG
rnacentral:rRNA from 1 species